rnacentral:rRNA from 1 species
CACGUAGGGCGCAAGCGUUGUCCGGAAUUAUUGGGCGUAAAGAGCUCGUAGGUGGUUUGUUACGUCUGCUGUGAAAACCUAGGGCUUAACCCUGGGCUUGCAGUGGAUACGGGCAGACUAGAGGUAGGUAGGGGAGAAUGGAAUUCCUGGUGUAGCGGUGAAAUGCGCAGAUAUCAGGAGGAACACCGGUGGCGAAGGCGGUUCUCUGGGCCUUACCUGACACCGAGGAGCGAAAGCGUGGGGAGCGAACAGG